GAGGAAUCAGCAUCGGCUAACUCCGUGCCAGCAGCCGCGGUAAGACGGAGGAUGCAAGCGUUAUCCGGAAUUAUUGGGCGUAAAGCGUCCGCAGGUGGGUUUUCAAGUCUGCUGUCAAAGCCCAGAGCUUUAACUCUGUAAAGGCGGUGGAAACUGUYAAGUCUAGAGUAUGGUAGGGGUAGAGGGAAUUCCCGGUGUAGCGGU
rnacentral:rRNA from 1 species